CAAAGACAGAGAAUGUGUGUGUGUGUGUGUUUGUGUGUGUGUGUGUGUGUGUGUGUGUGUGUCCGCGCGCGCGCGCGCGCGUGUGAGAGAAAGAGAGAGAGAGAGAGAGAAUCCAAAGUCUCACUUCUGCCACCCUCGAUAUACCACACCGCAACAGGAUUUCAUUCUCCAAGCUAUUUGGGGGAAAGAGACGGAUCCAAAGAAGAUAUAGGACGGGCAGCUUGAAGUGCAACAGAGAUCACAGUGGAGAAAAGUUCUUGUUUUGUUUGGAUUUUUUCUGACAAGGAUUUUGCACUGAAAAUGAAGUGGGGGAAGUGCCUUCGGAAUCAGAUUCAAACCGCUGACAGAAAUCAUCAUGAUCCAGGACCACUUCCCUUCCCAAAAAAUUUGUGGACAACUAAAAUAGAAGCAAUUGAAAAUCAUAAGGAAUAUUACUGGUGGAUGUGGCUAUUAUUAUUGUUGUUGCUAUUGUUAUUUUUAAUAGAGUUGUCCAGGCUUGCUGACUACUCAUUUAGCCUCACAAAAUCUGACCAUUUAAGAAAGGCCAAGUCUGUCAGACAUGCCAGGAAUGUAUUUAUAAAUUCUUCAUGCUGUGUUUUCAUUUGCAGCUGCCGUUUGUGUUUCAUAUUGUAAGGUCAAAACCACUCCAGUUAUUAAAUCUUUUCUAUAAUGCUAUAAGUCACCUAUCUAGUCUGAGACUAAGCUAAUUUCAGCCACAUCAGACAACAUAUGAUGCUGUUAAGAAAAGACUGAACAUGCUCAGAAAGCAAGCAGAUUUAGCGCAAACCUGUGGCACGGUGAUGGAGAUUUUUUCCUUAUACUUGGUCAGAAGAUCCAGUCUGGAAAAUGGUAGAAAAGAUACCUAUCUAAUCUCUACCCAAAUUUCCUAUUAAAAAACUAUAACAUAAUGCCUCAGAAUGAAUUCUGAGUAGCACAAACCACAAAAAGAUGAAGUGAAGUAAUUUUUCAACCCAAAACAACUUGAGAGGCCAGCACAAAGGAUCUAGUACACUGGAGUGAGGUUAAGUGCAAAGCGACGGACUAGGGCAGGCCCCAUUACAAUGGACCCUAGGCUCAGCUAAAGCAGUAGCAAACGUUUCAGGAACUCUCAGCCACAGAUGGUAAGAGGUAUAGGACAACUACUCCAAAAGAUAUUACUGGUUCUGGGCACAAGACUCUUGUUGCACUGCCCAUACAUAGGUCCAAUAAGCAAUCCUGGGCCAUGUUCUCAGAGGAAGGAGGAGUACUAUCACACACCAGCACUUGAGGCCACAGGAGAGGAGACCCUGAUCACAGUUCCAAGGGGUAAAAAAGUACUUGUGGUUACCUCCAGAGUAGAGCACAAGCCUGGAGAAUAUUAAACACACCUCUUCUUACAUCAUAUCACCUUAGAGGAACUAAAAGCAGAUAGAUCCCCAGAGAUAGCACUGAAGGCAGCUUGAAGGCAGCACCAAAGCUUGGAACAAUUCUCCCUUCACCUCACUUACAGAUCCCAACCUGUUUUUUAAAUUAAAAGAA